AGUCAACAACAUGUGGAUGUGU
rnacentral:miRNA from 1 species